GAUAUGUGGUAACGUCAGGUCUGAUUGCUGUUUCUUCAAAUAUACUAGCAGGGUUAAAAACUGCGGAACAUUUUAUGUAUAUGAGCUCAAGCCUAUACCAGGAUGCUCCUUGGCCUAUUGUGCAGGCACUGGCGUUCCAUGUCCUCCCCACCAGUCGUCUGCAACAGACUACCAGCCAGGAUGUAAAGACGACGGAAAUAGUUCAGUCAUUACUGGGAGAAAGAGACGAGACAUAGCCUAGACUUACUUCUCCUACUGGAUAACAGAUUCCAAACAGCUACUAUUAUUCGAAGUUUGAAGUAUAUCCAGAUACAUGUACCUGAAAUCGAAUUUCCACUGAUACUUAUAACUAAUUACAAAAUAAUACGCUAGCAAAAACAAUAUUUAGUUUGUUAGUGUACAAUUUUUAUCAUUCAUGCAGACAUUACGUAAAGCAAAUACUAAACGAUUCAAUCCUUACAUGUUUCUCGAUUUAUGAUCCAGGAUUUGUUUCAUUUUGUGCCCUUUAUAUAACAAAACAGUGUUAAUAAAAUAACUUCCAACGAAGGGAAUCCCUUACAUAUGUAAAUAUAACAAUUAUGACAAAUAUGCUCGUGUAAGAUAUGCUGAUCAAAACACGUAUUACCCAAUAACUGUAGAAACCCAACAUAAUAAAGAGGCAUGAUUAAGCAGGGCAAGAGACAAUUAUCAAUUCAGUCCGUCCCUUAAAGUCGACUUAAAGUUCUCAACCUGUCCCGUCAUCAAAAAGCGUAGUAAUGAUCUAUAAAAGACCUGAAUAUGAAACAUGUUUUGUGUUUCAGAAAAAUAUGGACGUAGCCGCCAGCAGUUUUUAUAAUAUUUGAUAUUUUUAUGAAAAAUGAUCGGAAAUAGCUAUUCCCGAGAAUUUUACGGUCGCCGUUUCUUUAGAUUACUUUUAAAUGUAAUCACUAAUUGAUAAAAUUUUGGCAAACGAAGAAGGUUUUGAUUACUAUUGCCGUUUGGUAAAUUCAAAGUUAGGAGUUUAUAUUUAUUAUUAAGGUUCAUUUUUGCAUUGCGAAUUUUAUUAAUAAGUAUGAGAAGACAAGAGAGG